UCAGCCCCCAGAAGGGCUGAAGUCCUAAUCCCCAAUACCUCAGUAUGUAACCUCAUCUGGAAAUGUGAUCAUUACAGAUGUAGUUAGUUGAAGUCAUAAUGGAGAAGGGUGGACCCCUGAUCUAACGUGAUCAGUGUCCUCAUAAAAGGGGGAGAUUUGGAUACAGAGAAAUGUAUACAGGGAGAAUGCUCUGUGAAGACAGGAGGUUUGCAGCCACAGUCCAGGGACGUACCAGCAGCUUAAAAAGAGACCAAUGGCAUUUUAAGUGAGACGUGAAAUAUGGGCUCUGCUACCGUGGCCCUUUGUCUGUCUGGUCAAAGAAGGAACAUAAACCCAUCUAAUUGAUCAAGUAGAAGGGAAAAGGAAGAGGGAAGAAAAAAAAAAAUGAGAGAAAAAGAGAAGAAAAAAAAAACCCCAGGCUUUCAAGACUGUGAACUCCUUGGAACAAAGACACAAUCUCUAUUAUAGUUGAUAAAAAUCACCAGGAAACAAAUGUUCCAGGAGGUUGUAUCUUAGCAUAUAACACAGAGAGAGCUAAGAGCAAUUUCCAUAUCAAUCUGCCCAAAUGGAAAAACUGGUGUCACCUACAAGCCUAGAAAGAAACAAAUAAGUCCCCUGAACCUAACUGUGAGAACCAGAAGCAAGAAAUACAGAAGCAGCUUCCUCAUGGCAGAAUUGCAUUUUUUUUUUUUUUUUUUGGUCUGCCAUCAACAGGUAUUACCAUGGAGAAGCAGUUCUGGGGGUGACACUAAUUUCUGCAACCAACUCUCAGCUCAUGGUGCUCUGCUUCUCCAUUCUCAUGGUGAAGGGCUUUGCCAACUGUAGCUGAAGAUGAAGAAAUCCUAUUUCUCAAACUGUAACACGUACAUCUUUUUAACGGAACAGUGAUGGGAAUGUUGCCGGAGAAGACCCUUUUUGAUGUUCCGUUGUGGGUUUUCACAUAUCCGAAAUCACAGGGAAGCACUCUGUAGCUUUCAAGCCACAAUUUUAAUGUGAGAUUGCCUCUUCAUAAGUGCAGUGGUCAUAAAAUGUCAAAGUAUGAGAGAGAAGACCCUUGUUUAGUCCUAAAAUGAAAAGGAAUGGCAUCCCCAUUGUUUUUUAUCUAUCUUUGCCCAUAAAUUUAUCAAUAAGUGGUAAAUACAUUUGGAUUUAAGGCAGGUUCCCUGCCAGGCAGGAAUAAAGACCAGCAACCAUGACGUAGAGAAACCCAAUGAAGCAAGGAAAAAAGGAGUGGAGGUAACUGAGUCAAUCGGCCAGUGAGCUGACCCCACAAGCGUGGCCUCGCUCUCGCUGAUCAGCUGGCAGAACACAGAACUUGCGCUCAUUACAAAGAAACAGCGACCACCUCAUACCUUCACGGG